rnacentral:pre_miRNA from 1 species
CUUGUACUCCCUCCGUCCGAAAAUACUUGUCAUUGAAAUGGACGUAUCUAGAUGUAUUUUAGUUCUAGACACAUCCAUUUUGAUGACAAGUAAUUCCGAACGGAGGGAGUACUUG